rnacentral:lncRNA from 1 species
AAAUCCAAAAGUCUGAGACCGAGGGGAAAAAAUGAAUAUAUUGAAUUUUUCAACUUUCUAUUUCGUUCCUCUUCAAAAAUAUUUAUUUAUUUUAGUAUCCUUUUCCAUGCUUCAAGAAAUUGUACCCCAUUACUAAUUAAUACUAAUGACUAAUUGAUACAGGUUUUAAAAUAUGUGAAAAGGCAAAAAAAAAACUCACUCUAUCGAACAGAAAUGGAAUUACAGGUAAACUUAUGGGACUCCUUUAUUAACCUUUUUCGUCAUCUAUUAACCUUUUAUUAUCAAGAAGUAUCAUAUUUUGCAUGGUUUCCAUGGGAUUAAAAUUUUGUUUUGAAAAAAAUAAACUAACAUAAAAGUUACGAUGAUAACAUCUACGAUAUCAUUCUUUUUGUGAUUUCUGUUGAAAUACUACUUUUUUUUUUUUUGUUGUUGAAAUGCCAUUUGAAUCACAAGUAUAUGUUUAUUGGUUUAUUUACAAAAUCAACAUGUUUUAAAAUUAUGUAUAAGUAUAGAAUUGUGAGAUAAAUUUGCAGCCCAAACUAGAUAACAAAAUUUUGAGUUUGAGUGGAUUUCUGGAAUUACGUGAUUUAGAGAGUUUCUGCAGUUACAUGUCCUUAAAUCAAAUUAUAUAUUAUUA